UACGUAGGGGGCAAGCGUUGUCCGGAAUCAUUGGGCGUAAAGCGCGUGUAGGCGGUUCGGUAAGUCUGCUGUGAAAGUCCAGGGCUCAACCCUGGGAUGCCGGUGGAUACUGUCGGACUAGAGUACGGAAGAGGCGAGUGGAAUUUCCGGUGUAGCGGUGAAAUGCGCAGAUAUCGGGAGGAACACCAAUUGCGAAGGCAGCUCGCUGGGACGUUACUGACGCUGAGACGCGAAAGCGUGGGGAGCAAACAGG
rnacentral:rRNA from 1 species